CGGGAAACUGGGGAUAAUACCGGAUAUAUGGAGAUGCCUGGAAUGGUACUCCACUUAAAGCUCCGGCGCCUAAGGAUGGAUCUGCGGCAGAUUAGGUCGUUGGUGGGGUAAUGGCCCACCAAGCCUAUAAUCUGUACGGGUUGUGAGAGCAAGAGCCCGGAGAUGGAACCUGAGACAAGGGUCCAGGCCCUACGGGGCGCAGCAGGCGCGGAAACCUCGCAAAGCCGAGCAAUCGCGACGGGGGGACCCCAAGUGCCACUCUUAACGGGGUGGCUUUUCUUAAGUGUAAAAAGCUUUUGGAAGAAGGGCUGGGCAAGACCGGUGCCAGCCGCCGCGGUAACA
rnacentral:rRNA from 1 species